rnacentral:rRNA from 1 species
GAUGAACGCUGGCGGCGUGCCUAAUACAUGCAAGUCGAACGGAGAUUCUGUCGUAAUUCGUUACAGCGGAAAUCUCAGUGGCGAACGGGUGAGUAACGCGUUGGUGACCUGCCCCGGAGAGGGGGAUAACAGCUUGAAAGGGCUGCUAAUACCCCAUGAUGUCUAAAGGGUUAGAAACCUCUAGACGAAAGGCUUCGGUCGCUUCGGGAGGGGCCUGCGUCCCAUCAGCUAGUUGGUAGGGUAAUGGCCUACCAAGGCGAAGACGGGUAGGGGACCUGAGAGGGUGACCCCCCACAAUGGAACUGAAACACGGUCCAUACACCUACGGGUGGCAGCAGUAGGGAAUAUUGCACAAUGGGCGAAAGCCUGAUGCAGCAACGCCGCGUGCGCGAAGAAGGCCUUCGGGUUGUAAAGCGCUUUUCGGGGAGAAGAGGAAGGACGGUUC